AAAUAUCAAUAUUAAAAGAAUAAAUAGUACCGAAACUUCUAAUUUGAUUGGCGCGGCGUUUGAGUCGGUGUAGUCGAGAUUUUAUCCAUCGUAGUUGAUGUGAGAUUUCUCUUUCGUCGACGCAAAGUUGUUGGAACUGUUCCAAUUCUUGUGCGGGACCGUUGUGGCGUCCUUUUUGUUUUGUUAGCAGAUGUUUCCUCCUUUGCAAUCUUGCGAGUUUGAAAUUUAGGCAUUGUUGACAUGCCUGUAAACGGCCAUGUUCUAUUAUGAAGUUAAUUUGAGAGGUUCGAGAAGGAAGUUGAUUGGAAGGGUUUUAAGAGUAAUUCUCAAAAGUAGUACCAAGUAUAUUG
rnacentral:lncRNA from 1 species